rnacentral:rRNA from 1 species
UAAGUUAGAAAGGGCGCACGGUGGAUGCCUUGACACUAGGAGUCGAUGAAGGACGGGACUAACGCCGAUAUGCUUCGGGGAGCUGUAAGUAAGCUUUGAUCCGAAGAUUUCCGAAUGGGGAAACCCACCAUACGUAAUGGUAUGGUAUCCUUAUCUGAAUACAUAGGGUAAGGAAGACAGACCCAGGGAACUGAAACAUCUAAGUACCUGGAGGAAGAGAAAGCAAAUGCGAUUUCCUGAGUAGCGGCGAGCGAAACGGAACAUAGCCCAAACCAAGAGGCUUGCCUCUUGGGGUUGUAGGACAUUCUAUACGGAGUUACAAAGGAACGAGGUAGACGAAGCGACCUGGAAAGGUCCGUCGUAGAGGGUAACAACCCCGUAGUCGAAACUUCGUUCUCUCUUGAAUGUAUCCUGAGUACGGCGGAACACGUGAAAUUCCGUCGGAAUCUGGGAGGACCAUCUCCCAAGGCUAAAUACUCCCUAGUGAUCGAUAGUGAACCAGUACCGUGAGGGAAAGGUGAAAAGCACCCCGGAAGGGGAGUGAAAGAGAUCCUGAAACCGUGUGCCUACAAAUAGUCAGAGCCCGUUAACGGGUGAUGGCGUGCCUUUUGUAGAAUGAACCGGCGAGUUACGAUCCCGUGCGAGGUUAAGCUGAAGAGGCGGAGCCGCAGCGAAAGCGAGUCUGAAUAGGGCGUUUAGUACGUGGUCGUAGACCCGAAACCAGGUGAUCUACCCAUGUCCAGGGUGAAGUUCAGGUAACACUGAAUGGAGGCCCGAACCCACGCACGUUGAAAAGUGCGGGGAUGAGGUGUGGGUAGCGGAGAAAUUCCAAUCGAACCUGGAGAUAGCUGGUUCUCCCCGAAAUAGCUUUAGGGCUAGCCUUAAGUGUAAGAGUCUUGGAGGUAGAGCACUGAUUGGACUAGGGGUCCUCAUCGGAUUACCGAAUUCAGUCAAACUCCGAAUGCCAAUGACUUAUCCUUAGGAGUCAGACUGCGAGUGAUAAGAUCCGUAGUCAAAAGGGAAACAGCCCAGACCGCCAGCUAAGGUCCCAAAGUGUGUAUUAAGUGGAAAAGGAUGUGGAGUUGCUUAGACAACUAGGAUGUUGGCUUAGAAGCAGCCACCAUUUAAAGAGUGCGUAAUAGCUCACUAGUCGAGUGACUCUGCGCCGAAAAUGUACCGGGGCUAAAUACACCACCGAAGCUGCGGAUUGAUACCAAUGGUAUCAGUGGUAGGGGAGCGUUCUAAGGACAGUGAAGUCAGACCGGAAGGACUGGUGGAGUGCUUAGAAGUGAGAAUGCCGGUAUGAGUAGCGAAAGACGGGUGAGAAUCCCGUCCACCGAAUGCCUAAGGUUUCCUGAGGAAGGCUCGUCCGCUCAGGGUUAGUCAGGACCUAAGCCGAGGCCGACAGGCGUAGGCGAUGGACAACAGGUUGAUAUUCCUGUACCACCUCUAUCGUUUGAGCAAUGGAGGGACGCAGAAGGAUAGAAGAAGCGUGCGAUUGGUUGUGCACGUCCAAGCAGUUAGGCUGAUAAGUAGGCAAAUCCGCUUAUCGUGAAGGCUGAGCUGUGAUGGGGAAGCUCCUUAUGGAGCGAAGUCUUUGAUUCCCCGCUGCCAAGAAAAGCUUCUAGCGAGAUAAAAGGUGCCUGUACCGCAAACCGACACAGGUAGGCGAGGAGAGAAUCCUAAGGUGUGCGAGAGAACUCUGGUUAAGGAACUCGGCAAAAUGACCCCGUAACUUCGGGAGAAGGGGUGCUUUCUUAACGGAAAGCCGCAGUGAAUAGGCCCAAGCGACUGUUUAGCAAAAACACAGCUCUCUGCGAAGCCGUAAGGCGAAGUAUAGGGGGUGACACCUGCCCGGUGCUGGAAGGUUAAGGAGAGGGGUUAGCGUAAGCGAAGCUCUGAACUGAAGCCCCAGUAAACGGCGGCCGUAACUAUAACGGUCCUAAGGUAGCGAAAUUCCUUGUCGGGUAAGUUCCGACCCGCACGAAAGGUGUAACGAUUUGGGCACUGUCUCAACCAGAGACUCGGUGAAAUUAUAGUACCUGUGAAGAUGCAGGUUACCCGCGACAGGACGGAAAGACCCCGUGGAGCUUUACUGUAGCCUGAUAUUGAAUUUUGGUACAGUUUGUACAGGAUAGGCGGGAGCCUUUGAAACCGGAGCGCUAGCUUCGGUGGAGGCGCUGGUGGGAUACCGCCCUGACUGUAUUGAAAUUCUAACCUACGGGUCUUAUCGACCCGGGAGACAGUGUCAGGUGGGCAGUUUGACUGGGGCGGUCGCCUCCUAAAGUGUAACGGAGGCGCCCAAAGGUUCCCUCAGAAUGGUUGGAAAUCAUUCGUAGAGUGCAAAGGCAUAAGGGAGCUUGACUGCGAGACCUACAAGUCGAGCAGGGACGAAAGUCGGGCUUAGUGAUCCGGUGGUUCCGCAUGGAAGGGCCAUCGCUCAACGGAUAAAAGCUACCCCGGGGAUAACAGGCUUAUCUCCCCCAAGAGUCCACAUCGACGGGGAGGUUUGGCACCUCGAUGUCGGCUCAUCGCAUCCUGGGGCUGUAGUCGGUCCCAAGGGUUGGGCUGUUCGCCCAUUAAAGCGGUACGCGAGCUGGGUUCAGAACGUCGUGAGACAGUUCGGUCCCUAUCCGUCGUGGGCGUAGGAAAUUUGAGAGGAGCUGUCCUUAGUACGAGAGGACCGGGAUGGACGCACCGCUGGUGUACCAGUUGUUCUGCCAAGGGCAUAGCUGGGUAGCUAUGUGCGGAAGGGAUAAGUGCUGAAAGCAUCUAAGCAUGAAGCCCCCCUCAAGAUGAGAUUUCCCAUAGCGUAAGCUAGUAAGAUCCCUGAAAGAUGAUCAGGUUGAUAGGUUCGAGGUGGAAGCAUGGUGACAUGUGGAGCUGACGAAUACUAAUAGAUCGAGGACUUAACCA